rnacentral:rRNA from 1 species
UACGGGAGUGGCAAGCGUUAUCCGGAAUUAUUGGGCGUAAAGCGUCCGCAGGCGGUCUUGUAAGUCUGUCGUUAAAGCGUGGAGCUUAACUCCAUUUCAGCGAUGGAAACUGCAAGACUAGAGUGUGGUAGGGGCAGAGGGAAUUCCCGGUGUAGCGGUGAAAUGCGUAGAUAUCGGGAAGAACACCAGUGGCGAAGGCGCUCUGCUGGGCCAUAACUGACGCUCAUGGACGAAAGCCAGGGGAGCGAAAGGGAUUAGAUACCCCUGUAGUCCUGGCCGUAAACGAUGAACACUAGGUGUCGGGGGAAUCGACCCCCUCGGUGUCGUAGCCAACGCGUUAAGUGUUCCGCCUGGGGAGUACGCACGCAAGUGUGAAACUCAAAGGAAUUGACGGGGGCCCGCACAAGCGGUGGAGUAUGUGGUUUAAUUCGAUGCAACGCGAAGAACCUUACCAGGGUUUGACAUCCUGCGAAUCUCUUGGAAACGAGAGAGUGCCUUCGGGAACGCAGUGACAGGUGGUGCAUGGCUGUCGUCAGCUCGUGUCGUGAGAUGUUGGGUUAAGUCCCGCAACGAGCGCAACCCACGUCGUUAGUUGCCAGCAUUUAGUUGGGCACUCUAGCGAGACCGCCGGUGAUAAACCGGAGGAAGGUGUGGAUGACGUCAAGUCAUCAUGCCCCUUACAUCCUGGGCUACACACGUACUACAAUGCUACGGACAAAGGGCAGCAAACUCGCGAGAGCUAGCAAAUCCCAUAAACCGUGGCUCAGUUCAGAUCGUAGGCUGCAACUCGCCUACGUGAAGGAGGAAUCGCUAGUAAUCGCAGGUCAGCAUACUGCGGUGAAUACGUUCCCGGGCCU